UACGGAGGGUGCGAGCGUUGUCCGGAAUCACUGGGCGUAAAGGGCGCGUAGGUGGCGCGGGCAGUCAACGGUGAAAGUUCGGGGCUCAACCCUGAAUCGGCCGUCGAUACUCCCGGGCUUGAGCACUGUAGAGGCAGAUGGAAUUCCGGGUGUAGCGGUGGAAUGCGUAGAGAUCCGGAAGAACACCGGUGGCGAAGGCGGUCUGCUGGGCAGUAGCUGACACUGAGGCGCGAAAGCUAGGGUAGCAAACGGG
rnacentral:rRNA from 1 species